rnacentral:rRNA from 1 species
UACGGGGUGGGCAAGCGUUGUUCGGAAUUACUGGGCGUAAAGGGCUCGUAGGUGGCCAACUAAGUCAGACGUGAAAUCCCUCGGCUUAACCGGGGAACUGCGUCUGAUACUGGAUGGCUUGAGUUCGGGAGAGGGAUGCGGAAUUCCAGGUGUAGCGGUGAAAUGCGCAGAUAUCAGGAGGAACACCAAUGGCGAAGGCAGCUCGCUGGGACGGUACUGACGCUGAGACGCGAAAGCGUGGGGAGCAAACAGG